AGCUGUGAAGGUCAUCCAGCUGCAACAUCUGUCACCCCCAUUCAUCAGGAAGUUGAUUUGGCAGACCCGGCUGGGUAGGCAGGUGUCACCUUCCUGUCUCAGCACUCCACAAAUACUUCCCCCAGAGCUGCACACUCAGGGAAAGAGUCAGCCUUCCUCAAUAGAGAAGCAUCCUUCUUCAGUCAGUGUUACACAAGCGCUCAUCUGCUGGGGUCUCCAAACAAGCCCCGAGGGUCCAAUGGCCCCACGAACUGCAGAUGAGCUUCUCACGGAGAUUAGCUUCCCCU
rnacentral:snRNA from 1 species